rnacentral:rRNA from 1 species
UACGAGGGGGGCAAGCGUUGUUCGGAAUUAUUGGGCGUAAAGGGCGCGUAGGCGGUGCGGUAAGUCUGAUGUGAAAUCUCCGGGCUCAACUCGGAGUCUGCAUCAGAAACUGCCGGGCUUGAGUAUGGGAGAGGUGAGUGGAAUUCCUGGUGUAGCGGUGAAAUGCGUAGAUAUCAGGAGGAACACCUGUGGCGAAAGCGGCUCACUGGACCAUAACUGACGCUGAUGCACGAAAGCUAGGGGAGCAAACAGG